GACGAACGCUGGCGGCGUGCUUAACACAUGCAAGUCGAACGGUAAGGCCCUUUCGGUGUUACACGCUUGGCUGACGGGUGAGUAACACGCAGGUGAUUUGCCCUGCCCUUUGUGAUAAGCCUCUUCAACUGAGUCUAAUACCUGAUAGGUCUACGCGCUUCAUGUCGUGUGGUGGAUAGCUUUUGCGGUGUGGGAUGGGCUCGCGGCCUAUCAGCUUGUUGGUGGGGUGAUGGCCUACCAAGGCGACGACGGGUAGCCGGCCUGAGAGGGUGACCGGCCACACUGGGACUGAGAUACGGCCCAGACUCCUACGGGAGGCAGCAGUGGGGAAUAUUGCACAAUGGGCGGAAGCCUGAUGCAGCGACGCCGCGUGGGGGAUGACGGCCUUCGGGUUGUAAACCGCUUUCAGCACAGACGAAGCGUAAGUGACGGUAUGGGCAGAAGAAGCACCGGCUAACUACGUG
rnacentral:rRNA from 1 species